rnacentral:ncRNA from 1 species
CUUAUCAAGAGUGACCGAGGGACAGGCCCUAUGACGUCACGGCAACCUGAUAUAUUAUUAAGGUGCCAAAUCCUGCGGUAUGACCGAAAGAUGAG